rnacentral:snoRNA from 1 species
UCCCUAUGCCAACAGUAACCUCAGCAGUAACUCUGAAGAGGACGCCUGCAUUGCUGUGGACGUAGCCAUACAAACGUUCCCACCGGGUUUCUAUAUGCUACUUUGUUAGCAAAUCAAGCCACUGGGGACAAUG